UCUACAAUCUGUCCAAAACCAUACACAACUCGUCUGACGCCGGGACGUACUACUGCGCUGUGCUCACAUGUGGACAAAUCCUGUUUGGUGAAGGAACUACAGUGAAGACACAACAAGAACCGUGGCCGUUUUACAUCACGUUUGGGACACUGCUGCCCUACAGCGUGUUUGUGACGGCUGCUCUCAUUUUCUACAGAAACCAAAGGCCCGUGUGUAAACAGUGCAAAGGAGAAAAAACUGCGUCCAAUCAAGGCGAACGUCACAGAUCAGCUGAAGAUCAACCAAAUAACGAGGAUGCUGACGAGGCGGCUCUGAACUACGUAGCGCUGGAUUUUGCAGCUAGGAAAGCUAAAAGAUGGACGGCUGCGAGGGAGCAGUCGCUGGAUUGUACAUACUCCGGUGUAGGAGAAAGUCUAUGAAUGGAUUUAUUGACACGUACAGACAGAAGCGGCCUGGUUGGACCAAGAAUAGAUCAUUUUACUCUUAUGAGCUCCAUUAUUGUAAACAUUUGAAUGGAAUCUGAAUGUACGAUUUUGACUAUGAUGGAAACAAAUGUCCUCUGCUCUUUAUGUAUUAUUUAUCACAAUAUAAGACAUCUUUUUAAAAGUGGUACAAUUCAACGUAAGGUACUGGACCUGACAAACGAAAUGUAAACAUGAUGAGAUUUCUUUGUUCUUAAUGAAAACUGUUGGCUUUGUGGAACCAUUUGACUACACAGAGACGACUGAACCAUUUUUCUUUUUAUGAAUUUUAGUGGUUCUGAAAAGGAAAAGGGACUCUCUUAUUCCCAAACUGCUUGUGAUGAUAGCCUUGAUGGUAUCCUCUCUGUAGGUUCCAGCUGUGAUACCCCAGCUCCUUGUUUCAUUUUUAUGAAUAAACUCUUUUGUAAGCUGGAUAUAUUUUCCAACAUGACAUUA